rnacentral:lncRNA from 1 species
AUGUUUCUGGUUCCUCGUGUUUUAUUCUCCAUGUUUCUGGUUUUAUUUCUGGUUCCUCGUGUUUUAUUCUCCAGGUUUCUGGUUCCUCGUGUUUUAUUCUCCAUGUUUCUGGUUCCUCGUGUUUUAUUUCUGGUUCCUCGUCUUUUAUUCUCCGGGUUUCUGGUUCCUCAUGUUUUAUUCUCCAGGUUUGUGGUUCCUCGAGUUUUAUUCUCCGGGUUUCUGGUUCCUCGUGUUUUAUUCUCCAUGUUUCUGGUUCCUCGUGUUUUAUUUCUGGUUCCUCGAGUUUUAUUCUCCGGGUUUCUGGUUCCUCGUGUUUUAUUGUGCUGGUGUCUGGUUCACUCUUGUUCUCUUCUCUCUCUUCUUUCACAAACUGCAUCUUCACAGCAGCAGAUCUCAGUUCAGAUGAUAAACUCCUCCAGAUAUUCUUGCUUGCUUCAAAACACAGUGACGAUUGUUAGGAUGAGAAUAUUACAGGUGUUUACUGAACUGAUUCAAAAACUAAAAUUUUCUCUUAGAAACGUGUCUAACCGUUUGUGUUAAGGCAGCACACCGACAUAACAACAACAGAGAGCGCGGUGAAACUGAACUUCUUCCUCUAAGGUUUAAUGAUGUUUGUCAAACAAACGAAUGUGUUUAGCGCCUCCCGCUGGACUGGAGCGAAGCGACCAGGGGUGCGCUUCCCAAAACUAUAGCUAAAAAUUGCUAACCUGUUAGGAACUUUGUUGGUUGGCAAUGGGAAAUUGCAUUGCAACCAACAACGUUGCUAACUUAGUUAGCAACUAUGGUUUUGGGAAACGCACCCCAGACUAGUGAUGUGUCGUUCUGAACGUUCGUGUGUCGUUCAUUUGAUAAAGCUAGCACUUCAAUUAAUUAUAUUGUUAAUUUUUUUAUUUUGUUUGUGAAGUUUUUUUUAUUCACAAGCAAAAAUUCUUUAAAUCGCAGCCUACUUUUCCAAAAUUUUUAAUUGAAAUUCAUGCAUGUCUGAAACCUCUAAUGCUGUGUUCACACCAAACGCGAAUAGAGCGUCUGGCGCGAAUGAUUUCAAUGUUAAGUCAAUGCAAAGGCGCGUUUACGCGCGUCUGGAGGUCUCGCGGCGCGAAUGGGGCGUUAAGCGCGGCGCGGAAGACGCGAAUUCGCCUCAUUCGCGCGUCUAGUUCGCGCGAAUGACGCGAAUUGACGCGCGAAUAGGGCGUUUCGCGCGAAACGCGCGUUAAGCGCGAAGGUGCUUUUUGUGCAUUUAGCGUUUGACGCGAAUUCGCGUCUGCCGCCCGAGUUGAAAAAUUUGAACUUUGGCGUCAAUUCGCGCCGCGUUAACCAAUCAGGAGCCUGCUAGGAGUCACUCAUUCAACAGUAUGUUCCUGCAGCCUCCGGUUGUGCAGGAAUACCCUUCUCCACUCAUUCAACAAGGAGGAACGACUGAUGUUGUCAGUGAGCAGUCAACCGGAGCUAUAUGACAAAAGUUCAUAUUUCUAUAGAGACAGGAAUAAAAAGGACAUAUAUGUAUAUAAAAAACAUAUUAAUAGAUAACUUGAAUAAAGGCCAAUUGAUAAGAAACGUUUCAUUUUACCCCAAACAAAUUAUAUUUUAUCUUGAACCACUAAAGAGACAUCAGAGUCAGCGGCAAAUGUCAGAAGGUCUAGCCGAGCCGAGGCUGCUCUCGGCGGAUACAUGAUGAUGGAGCUCCCGCUGGUUGCAUGGAGCUCAUCUCCGAGAUCGGCGAAACACAUAUUUUUAAAUAGACGCUGUCAUUAUAAAUAAACCGCAUAUCUGAGUUUAAAACAACUACAUUCUCGCCUGAAAUACUUUUAAAACUACAUUUCAUGACACAGUAACAGUAAUAUUUUGAAAAUUAUCCGAAUAAAAAUGGCGGUUGAAAAUGCUGCGUGAACUCAGCUGGCAGAAGCCCCCCCAUGACGCGAAUUCGCGUCUGUGGUGAAGUUAAUUCCACGCGCGAAUGAAGCGAAUUACUCGCGCGAAUGAAGCGAAUGAUCUCAAAAUGGUCAAGCGGCAAACUAGACGCGGUAGACGCGAAUUUGACGCUCUAUUCGCGUUUGGUGUGAACACAGCAUAAGGUUAAUUAAAAACAAGAAAAGUGACAGAUUCCUGAAAUAUUAUGACAAUAUUUUUGGUAUUACCACUGAUGCAUAAUGUUUCCUCUAUGUAUCCCUUUUUUAUUAUUAUUAUUUUUUUAUAUAUUUAUAUUUUAUUAGAUUUGGUUUAUAUAUGUGAAGCUUUACAUAUACUUGAUAACAUUUGAUUCCUGUAGAUGUUCUAUUUGUUCUGUUCUUUAUAUGUCCUUGUUGUCUAAAGCAUAUUCAAUAAAAAAACAAAAAUAUAUAUAUAUGUUUGGCCAGGUCUGGCAUAGGCUACAAUUUCGUUUGGUUUUAAAUUAGCCUGUAGCCUACUCAAUUUAAACGUGAAUGUGUGCUAGGUAUCCUAACUAAAAACAUGACAAUAUAGGUUCCAUCAUCCCUUUAUCUUAUGUGAAAGACGAUCAUGACUUUCAACCAUCAAUGCAACCCACAGACGUUUAACAGGACGCAGUUGUACUUUGAAAAGCCAAUUCAAUUGCGUGAUAUCUGACGCUUUCAGGGACAGUAAUGUGCAGAAAAUUAGCAUUUGUUUUAAUAACCUGUAGUAUAGCCUACUUUAUUAGCCUUUGGCUUUCAAACCUACUUUCCAUUUCAACAUCCACCCUUUGCAUGUGUCAGAGAUGCACCUGACCUUAAAGCAAC